rnacentral:rRNA from 1 species
UACGGGGGGGGCAAGCGUUGUUCGGAAUUACUGGGCGUAAAGGGCGCGUAGGCGGCCAUCUAAGUCAGACGUGAAAUCCUCGGCUCAACCGAGGAACUGCGUCUGAUACUGGAAGGCUUGAAUCCGGGAGAGGGAUGUGGAAUUCCAGGUGUAGCGGUGAAAUGCGUAGAUAUCAGGAGGAACACCGGUGGCGAAGGCGGGUCUCUGGGCAACAACUGACGCUGAGGAGCGAAAGCGUGGGGAGCGAACAGG